CGUUUGCAGAAAUGACUUUGUUGAGCUUCUUCUAGGGAUGAUCGGGCUGUUGCCGUCAGAUCCAUUGCCCUAGUAGGAGAGAUCGACUCUGUCAUCGUCGGGCUUCGAUCUUCGUUUGCAGAAAUGACUUUGUUGAGCUUCUUCUAGGGACGAUGGGCUUUUGUCGUCAGAUCUAUCGCCCUAGUAGGAGAGAUCGACUCUGUCAUCGUCGGGCUUCAAUCUUCGUUUGCAGAAAUGACUUUGUUGAGCUUCUUCUAGGGACGAUCGGGCUUCUGCCGUCAGAUCUAUCGCCCUAGUAGGAGAGAUCGACUCUGUCAUUGUUGGGCUUCAAUCUUCGUUUGCAGAAAUGACUUUGUUGAGCUUCUUCUAGGGACGAUCGGGCUUUUGCCGUCAGAUCUAUCGCGCUAGUAGGAGAGAUCGACUCUAUCAUCGUCGGGCUUCGAUCUUCGUUUGCAUAAAUGACUUUGUUGAGCUUCUUCUAGGGACGAUCAGACUUUUGUCGUCAGACCUAUCGCCCUAGUAGGAGAGAUCGACUCUGUCUUCGUCGGGCUUCAAUCUUCGUUUGCUUUUUCUUCCCCCCCCCCCCCCCCCUUUUUUUCUUCUUUCUUUCUUUUUUUUUCUUUUGUUUUUUUGGUUUUUUUCUAUUUCUUCUUCUUC
rnacentral:lncRNA from 1 species